rnacentral:rRNA from 1 species
AAAUAGCACCGUAACUUCGGGAGAAGGUGCGCCGGCGUAGAUUGUAAGGGCUUGCCCCUGAAGGUUGAACCGGUCGAAGAUACCAGCUGGCUGCAACUGUUUAUUAAAAACACAGCACUCUGCAAACACGAAAGUGGAGGUAUAGGGUGUGAUGCCUGCCCGGUGCUGGAAGGUUAAUUGAUGGUGUAAUCGAAAGAGAAGCACCUGAUCGAAGCCCCAGUAAACGGCGGCCGUAACUAUAACGGUCCUAAGGUAGCGAAAUUCCUUGUCGGGUAAGUUCCGACCUGCACGAAUGGCAUAAUGAUGGCCAGGCUGUCUCCACCCGAGACUCAGUGAAAUUGAAAUCGCCGUGAAGAUGCGGUGUACCCGCGGCUAGACGGAAAGACCCCGUGAACCUUUACUAUAGCUUGACACUGAACAUUGAAUUUUGAUGUGUAGGAUAGGUGGGAGACUAAGAAGUAGGAACGCCAGUUUCUAUGGAGUCAUCCUUGAAAUACCACCCUUUAACGUUUGAUGUUCUAACGAAGAUUACGAAACGUGGUCUCGGACAGUGUCUGGUGGGUAGUUUGACUGGGGCGGUCUCCUCCCAAAGCGUAACGGAGGAGCACGAAGGUUUGCUAAUCACGGUCGGACAUCGUGAGGUUAGUGCAAUGGUAUAAGCAAGCUUAACUGCGAGACAGACAAGUCGAGCAGGUACGAAAGUAGGUCAUAGUGAUCCGGUGGUUCUGAAUGGAAGGGCCAUCGCUCAACGGAUAAAAGGUACUCCGGGGAUAACAGGCUGAUACCGCCCAAGAGUUCAUAUCGACGGCGGUGUUUGGCACCUCGAUGUCGGCUCAUCACAUCCUGGGGCUGAAGUAGGUCCCAAGGGUAUGGCUGUUCGCCAUUUAAAGUGGUACGCGAGCUGGGUUUAGAACGUCGUGAGACAGUUCGGUCCCUAUCUGCCGUGGGCGUUGGAGAAUUGGUUGGGGCUGCUCCUAGUACGAGAGGACCGGAGUGGACGCACCACUGGUGUUCCGGUUGUGUCGCCAGACGCAUUGCCGGGUAGCUAAGUGCGGAAGAGAUAAGUGCUGAAAGCAUCUAAGCACGAAACUUGCCAAGAGAUGAGUUCUCCCUGUCUUUAAGAGAGUAAGGGUUGUUUAAGACGAAGACGUAGAUAG